rnacentral:rRNA from 1 species
GGUUAAGUUAGAAAGGGCGCACGGUGAAUGCCUUGGCACUAGGAGCCGAUGAAGGACGGGACUAACACCGAUAUGCUUCGGGGAGCUGUAAGUGAGCUUUGAUCCGGAGAUUUCCGAAUGGGGAAACCCACUGUUCGUAAUGGAACAGUAUCUUUAUCUGAAUACAUAGGAUAUUGAAGGCAGACCCGGGGAACUGAAACAUCUAAGUACCCGGAGGAAGAGAAAGCAAAUGCGAUUUCCUGAGUAGCGGCGAGCGAAACGGAAUUAGCCCAAACCAAGAGGCUUGCCUCUUGGGGUUGUAGGACACUCUAUACGGAGUUACAAAGGAACGAAGUAAAUGAAGCGACCUGGAAAGGUCCGUCAAAGAAGGUAACAACCCUGUAGUUGAAACUUCGUUCCCUCUUGAGUGGAUCCUGAGUACGGCGGAACACGUGAAAUUCCGUCGGAAGCUGGGAGGACCAUCUCCCAAGGCUAAAUACUACCUAGUGACCGAUAGUGAACCAGUACCGUGAGGGAAAGGUGAAAAGCACCCCGGAAGGGGAGUGAAAGAGAUCCUGAAACCGUGUGCCUACAAGUAGUCAGAGCCCGUUAACGGGUGAUGGCGUGCCUUUUGUAGAAUGAACCGGCGAGUUACGAUCCCAUGCAAGGUUAAGCUGAUAAAGCGGAGCCGUAGCGAAAGCGAGUCUGAAUAGGGCGUUUAGUAUGUGGUUGUAGACCCGAAACCAGGUGAUCUACCCAUGUCCAGGGUGAAGUUCAGGUAACACUGAAUGGAGGCCCGAACCCACGCACGUUGAAAAGUGCGGGGAUGAGGUGUGGGUAGCGGAGAAAUUCCAAUCGAACCUGGAGAUAGCUGGUUCUCUCCGAAAUAGCUUUAGGGCUAGCCUCAUGUUGUGAGAGUCUUGGAGGUAGAGCACUGAUUGGACUAGGGGCCCCCAACGGGUUACCGAAUUCAGUCAAACUCCGAAUGCCAAAGACUUAUCCAUGGGAGUCAGACUGCGAGUGAUAAGAUCCGUAGUCAAAAGGGAAACAGCCCAGACCACCAGCUAAGGUCCCCAAGUAUACGUUAAGUGGAAAAGGAUGUGGAGUUGCUUAGACAACCAGGAUGUUGGCUUAGAAGCAGCCACCAUUUAAAGAGUGCGUAAUAGCUCACUGGUCGAGUGACUCUGCGCCGAAAAUGUACCGGGGCUAAACGUAUCACCGAAGCUGUGGAUUGACAUCUUUGAUGUCAGUGGUAGGAGAGCGUUCUAAGUGCUGUGAAGUCAGACCGUAAGGACUGGUGGAGCGCUUAGAAGUGAGAAUGCCGGUAUGAGUAGCGAAAGACAAGUGAGAAUCUUGUCCACCGAAUGCCUAAGGUUUCCUGAGGAAGGCUCGUCCGCUCAGGGUUAGUCGGGACCUAAGCCGAGGCUGAAAAGCGUAGGCGAUGGCCAACAGGUUGAUAUUCCUGUACCACCUCCCCGCCGUUUGAGUAAUGGGGGGACGCAGUAGGAUAGGGUAAGCGCGCUGCUGGAUAUGCGCGUUCAAGCAGUUAGGCUGAUGAGUAGGCAAAUCCGCUCAUCAUAAAGGCUGAGCUGUGAUGACGAGGGAAUUAUAGUACCGAAGUUCCUGAUUCCACACUGCCAAGAAAAGCCUCUAGCGAGGCGGGAGGUGCCCGUACCGCAAACCGACACAGGUAGGCGAGGAGAGAAUCCUAAGGUGAUCGAGAGAACUCUCGUUAAGGAACUCGGCAAAAUGACCCCGUAACUUCGGGAGAAGGGGUGCUCUGGUAGGGUGUAUAGCCCGAGAGAGCCGCAGUGAAUAGGCCCAGGCGACUGUUUAGCAAAAACACAGGUCUCUGCGAAGCCGCAAGGCGAAGUAUAGGGGCUGACGCCUGCCCGGUGCUGGAAGGUUAAGAGGAGGGGUUAUCCUUUGGGAGAAGCUCUGAAUCGAAGCCCCAGUAAACGGCGGCCGUAACUAUAACGGUCCUAAGGUAGCGAAAUUCCUUGUCGGGUAAGUUCCGACCCGCACGAAAGGCGUAACGAUCUGGGCACUGUCUCAACGAGAGACUCGGUGAAAUUAUAGUACCUGUGAAGAUGCAGGUUACCCGCGACAGGACGGAAAGACCCCGUGGAGCUUUACUGUAGCCUGAUAUUGAAUUUUGGUACAGCUUGUACAGGAUAGGUAGGAGCCUGAGAAGCCGGAGCGCUAGCUUCGGUGGAGGCGUCGGUGGGAUACUACCCUGGCUGUAUUGAAAUUCUAACCCGCGGCCCUUAUCGGGCCGGGAGACAGUGUCAGGUGGGCAGUUUGACUGGGGCGGUCGCCUCCUAAAAUGUAACGGAGGCGCCCAAAGGUUCCCUCAGAAUGGUUGGAAAUCAUUCGUAGAGUGUAAAGGCACAAGGGAGCUUGACUGCGAGACCUACAAGUCGAGCAGGGACGAAAGUCGGGCUUAGUGAUCCGGUGGUUCCGCAUGGAAGGGCCAUCGCUCAACGGAUAAAAGCUACCCCGGGGAUAACAGGCUUAUCUCCCCCAAGAGUCCACAUCGACGGGGAGGUUUGGCACCUCGAUGUCGGCUCAUCGCAUCCUGGGGCUGUAGUCGGUCCCAAGGGUUGGGCUGUUCGCCCAUUAAAGCGGUACGCGAGCUGGGUUCAGAACGUCGUGAGACAGUUCGGUCCCUAUCCGUCGUGGGCGUAGGAAAUUUGAGAGGAGCUGUCCUUAGUACGAGAGGACCGGGAUGGACACACCGCUGGUGUACCAGUUGUCUUGCCAAAGGCAUCGCUGGGUAGCUAUGUGUGGACGGGAUAAGUGCUGAAAGCAUCUAAGCAUGAAGCCCCCCUCAAGAUGAGAUUUCCCAUAGCGCAAGCUAGUAAGAUCCCUGAAAGAUGAUCAGGUUGAUAGGUCAGAGGUGGAAGCGUGGCGACAUGUGUAGCUGACUGAUACUAAUCGAUCGAGGACUUAACCAA